UUGAUGUUUUCUUGUAUGAAUUUUUAAUGAUUUUUUUUUGUUUUCUCAAAAGUUUUGUAUGCACAGAAGCUUUUUCAAAAUUUUGAGUAAAAAUUAUUUGUUCAGACUAUCAAUUGAGACAAGAUAUAUUUCAAGUAAUUAAAAAAGUUAUCGAUAAAUUUAAGAAUUAUCAAUGCGCUUCGUCUUAUAAUAACUAGACUAUAAUCUAUAAUUAAAAAAUGAAAAUAA
rnacentral:lncRNA from 1 species